ACCCCGCUGAACCUGAUUCCAGUCUCUAAUUAGCGGUCAAGGAGUAGAUAACUGCACAACUUUGGACAUGCAUGAGGCAGUGGCUGUUAAAAAGAUAGAUGACUGUAACAAAUAAUGUGUGAGAACAAGGAGCCAAAAAUAUUGGAAAACGACCAUAAGAUAGAUAGCGGAUUCAGUGAUUUGGUUAUUAUGGAGGUUGAUGGAACUUGGUCUACUGUUGGAAUUCAGAGCCAUAAAGCAUUGGACUUGGACAAGAGCUCUUCCAUGGCAGCAACCAGCAGUCCAAGGCCAAGCAAGCUAUCUCAAGGGAGGGGAUUCUCAAGUCACCCCACUUCCAAUCCAUGGACGCUAUCCACAAGGACCAAGAUGACAACGACCAGGAAGGAAGGAGCCCACGCCCGACCCCGACGACGGCGGUUCCAUUUGUGUGCCGGCGUCGACCACAACCUCCCUCUCUAAAAUUAUCUUGUGCUUUAUUUUAAUUGAAAGAAGUUCAUUCUCAACUCACUCUGCUUAUAUCAUAAUUCAGCACCGACUCUUUCAGUC